CAGUCACAGUUACAUAAGAUACUGACGCCUGGAAAGGAAAUGUGAGCUCUGAAACACUGAGCAUCAUUCAAAAACAGAAACUCGUGGUGAGCUCCCAGUGUGUGUGUGUGUGUGUGUGUGUGUGUGUGUGUGUGUGUGUGUGUGUGUGUGAUAAGGCGGUGACUAUUGUUGUGUAACCAUAGGAAAACCAAAAGAAAUGUCAUUUGUGGGGACCUCAUUUGGGUCCCCAUGAGGGGAAACAGUGUUUUCUUGGCCAUGUUGUUGUUACUGAAAAAAGUAAAAGUGCAAAAACGUUUCUUUAGGGUUAGACAUUGUUUUGGUCUGGGUUAGGGUUAGGGUUAGGGUAAGGUUUAGGGGUUAGAUAUGAAUGGGAGUCAAUUGUAGAUCCCCACAAGGAUAGGAAUACACAGUUGUGUGUAACUGGAAGAAAAACCACAAAAUUACACAUAUAUACACUAAUCACCAAUUUACAGACAUAGACAUACACACAGCAUUUGAUAUGCCUCAUGCUAUUUUUUAGUUAUUUUUUGAUAUUUUUUCUGUUAAGUAGUGGUUGAUGCCAUCAAUUGCCACUUCAUUUUCAGCCAGUUCUUUUCUAACUCGAUCACUGUCACAAGACUUUUCUUGUUUAGAGGGACCUAUACAUACACUGUGAGAUUUGAAAAUGCCUCAAGAAAAUUACCUAUAGGAAAUCAUAUUGAUGAAAACAUCACACAGCAGUGAUGGCUUGCCUUAACUCUACUUAUUUUGAAAGUUACUAUUGUUUUUCAGCACUGGGUUUUCUUUCUAUCUUCCAGGGAUCCCCCAUUAAAAAUGUAUAGUGUUUAUUCUCAUUAAUUUAAAAUCCUGGAGUCGACAGAGACAGAGUGUAGUGGGUUUAUGAUAUUUAAACACUCUGCAAUAUGUAGGACUCAAAUGAUAAUAAAUGAGGAGUAAAAAUAUGGUAAGUUUUGGGUCCAUCGCCACUCUGAGUACAAAUGGAGAUUAGUUGGAUAGAAAAUGAAAGCAAACUUUUUGAAGGCUCUGCUUAUAUCAGAGCAGCUUGGUUUCACUUUGUUGUGUUGAUCUUAACUUCACUACAAUGUCAAGAGAUCAUCAUUUGAAAGCAGCAGUGGAAGAAAUAUUCAGAUCCUUCACUUAAAAUAAAAUACCAAUACAGCAACGUAAUAAUACACAUUUACAAGAGAAGGCAUGCAAGUAUUCCCAGUAAAACGUGGGUAAAGUGAAUAAAAUUCCUGCUGAUUGUGAUAAUGUUUAUGACAUUAUUAGAUUAUUAAUAGAGAAACAUCAGUGUGUGAAGAAUGGGACAUGAAAGAAGAAAAAACUGUUCUGAAACACACAUCUGUUCUUAGAUUUGAGACUCUUUCUCUUAUCUUUUUGGUGGUAGUCGGUGAGAUAUUGAAUCAUUUGAGCAUUUAUUGAGAUGAAAUCAUAUUAGAGGGAAAAAUUGCUCUUUGAUGAAGCUGUUAACAACUCAUAGACAUCUGAAACUGAACCGACUACACACUGUUCUUUGUGAGAAACAACAAAGAUUAGAAACCACUGAUUUAGUUUUGAUUGUUUCCCUUUGAAAUGUAAUGUAAAGUAGCAUAAAAUGGAAACACUCAAAUAAAUAGUGGCUAAGUUUGUGUAAGACACAUUCUAAUAAUUAGAACACCAAUCAUCAUUCAUUUUUCUAUACAGCACCUGAAAAACAAACUCACAAAAGACUUUACAUGGGAAAUAAAACAAAGAAUGAAGUAAGAUGAAAAGAGUUACAGAAUGAAAACUGGUAAUCUCUGAACGGAAAAAAAUAGAUCUUCUUUGUGACCUUAAUAAAAUCCUUUAAAAAAGA